UAAUAAGUGUUUUAUGGCACUUUUUUAAAUCCAUAUCCACCUUGUGUGCAAUGUCAGGGUUGAUUUUUCUCUCGAGAGGAUCAACCCCAAACAUCAACUAUUAUCUUUAACAACAUUCGUCUGAUAACAUAUUAUGAAUAUACUUAAUUCAAAAUA
rnacentral:misc_RNA from 1 species